AAUGAACGCUGGCGGCAGGCCUAACACAUGCAAGUCGAACGGAUCCUUCGGGAUUAGUGGCGGACGGGUGAGUAACGCGUGGGAACAUACCCUUUGGUACGGAAUAGCCUCGGGAAACUGGGAGUAAUACCGUAUGUGGUCGAGAGACGAAAGAUUUAUCGCCAAAGGAUUGGCCCGCGUGGGAUUAGGUGGUUGGUGGGGUAAUGGCCUACCAAGCCGACGAUCCAUAGCUGGUUUGAGAGGAUGAUCAGCCACACUGGGACUGAGACACGGCGCAGACUCCUACGGGAGGGAGCAGUGGGGAAUCUUAGACAAUGGGGGAAACCCUGAUCUAGCCAUGCCGCGUGAUCGAUGAAGGCCUUAGGGUUGUAAAGAUCUUUCAGGUGGGAAGAUAAUGACUGUACCACCAGAAGAAGCCCCGGCUAGCUCCGUGCCAGCCGCCGCAGUAA
rnacentral:rRNA from 1 species